rnacentral:rRNA from 1 species
UACGGAGGGAGCUAGCGUUGUUCGGAAUUACUGGGCGUAAAGCGCACGUAGGCGGCUUUGUAAGUUAGAGGUGAAAGCCCGGGCUCAACUCCGGAACUGCCUUUAAGACUGCAUCGCUUGAAUCCGGGAGAGGUGAGUGGAAUUCCGAGUGUAGAGGUGAAAGUUCGUAAGAUAUUCGGAAGAACACCAGUGGCGAAGGCGGCUCACUGACCGGU